CCCUCAGCAGUAUUCGAUCCGCCCAGCAGCAGUAACGGUUAUGAGAAGGCGGUCAUUGAAGUGUCAACUCCCCAAGCUGGCACCGUGGUGGGUGUUGUGCUGGGCUCCCUUGGGGUUCUUUGCCUAGCUGUUGGGUGUACAGAUGCUUGUCAAGUUUCUGAAGAUACGUCGACGUGUUAUCAUCCACGCAAGCUUCCCCAACCCAACCAGUGUACCACAAGACAACAGGUAGGACAGGAGGACAAGAAAAGGGAGUGAGCGGCUGCAUGCACUAUUGAACGGGACAGCAUUACAUUCUUCCCACAGUUGUAUGACAACACUGAAGCAAGCCCAGAAUAAAGUGUUGAGUGACCAUGAUUACUACUAACGCUAAAGAAGUGAGGGAAGUGUUUGGAGUGAGCGUGCAAGACGUACAACAGACAACAGACUGCUACUGCCGGUGUAGCCAAAGGAACAAGAGGAGGCAGAGGAGGAGGAGGAAGAAGAUGAGGAACAAGAGAGUGAUUCUUGGAGACGUACCAAUGAAGUUCUGCAGGAUUCAGUACUACUAACGAGAAAGAAGUGAGGCAAGUUUUUG